ensembl:lncRNA
CAGCAAAUUGCUGUAAAUCCCACCAUCCUGCGAGUCCUCAAGAGUGCUUUUUUUAGUCCUGAAGGCCAAAAGGAUUUGUGUCCUGCUGACAACGAUCGGCAAAACGCUGUCGCAGAAUGCGCCGAGGACGACCUGUGCCUCGGAUUAAACGAGUACGUCAACUUCGUGGCCUUGUUCACCAUCUUCCUGGUUUGCGUCGUCGCACAGUUCAUGCUUGCCAACCGUCAUUGUGCAAGCUCUGGAGGACAGCAACAAGGACGAAGGAGUGUCUGGACUGUCUGCUGCUCAUCUCGUUGUCCCGGGAACUUCUGACACCUGAUCCAGAUUGAUUGAUGAUUGAUUUUACCCAUUCAUGGUCCUUUUGAAAGCCGUUAAAUUUUAUUGUAAAAGUAUAAUUUAUUGAUUCAACUAAAAUGUUUUAAUAUUUUAAGAAUUGAUAUUUAUACAUUUUUCUACGCAUGUGUAUUCCCGAUGUUCCUUUUGAAAGCAGUUUUUCUAUUCUAAAAGAACGAUUUAUUGAUUUAACUGCU